CCAUCUUGAAUCUCUAUCUCCCAUUUUUGUUUUUAUUUUUUUUAUUUUUAUUUAAUAUUUAAUAUUUCUAUUUUUGUUACUAAAUGUGCAUAAGAUUUUAGAGACUCCUAUCCUAUAGUAUAUGAAUCCUCAUCAUCUUUCAUUGACCUCCUAACCUAUUGUGUUUUCACUUUCCAUAUUUUAGUUUGUACUUCAUGGUGAGGGAAAAAAAUAAUUGGAUGUGUUAUCUAGUGAGGAUCAAAAUAUUAAGG
rnacentral:lncRNA from 1 species